UACAGAGGUCUCAAGCGUUGUUCGGAUUCAUUGGGCGUAAAGGGCGUGUAGGUGGCGCGCUAAGUCGGGUGUGAAAUUUCGGAGCUUAACUCCGAAACUGCAUUCGAUACUGGCGUGCUUGAGGACUGGAGAGGAGACUGGAAUUUACGGUGUAGCAGUGAAAUGCGUAGAUAUCGUAAGGAAGACCAGUGGCGAAGGCGGGUCUCUGGACAGUUCCUGACACUGAGACACGAAGGCCAGGGGAGCAAACGGG
rnacentral:rRNA from 1 species